AUACGGAGGAUCCGAGCGUUAUCCGGAUUUAUUGGGUUUAAAGGGUGCGCAGGCGGCCAUUUAAGUCAGCGGUUAAAUCGUGGGGCUCAACCCCAUUCUGCCGUUGAUACUGGGUGGCUUGAUUGCGGUCGAGGUUGGCGGAAUUCGUUGUGUAGCGGUGAAAUGCAGAGAUAUGACGAAGAACACCGAUUGCGUAGGCAUCAGGACAGACCGGGAAUGUCGCUCAUGCACGAAAUUGCGGGGAUCGAACAGGAUUAGAUACCCUGGUCAUGCGCAGCGUAAACGAUGAAUACUUGUUUUCGGCGAUAUAAUGUCGGAGGCAAAGCGAAAGCGAUAAGUAUUCCAGCUGGGGCGUUCGCCGACAACGGUGAAACUCAAAGGAAUUGACGGGC
rnacentral:rRNA from 1 species